AGUGAAGGUUGAUUUUGGGAGAGAAUUCAUCUCAAUUCUCAAUACACAAACCAAAAUUCACAAAACACAAACCAAAAUGGAAGUGGGACGCGGGAUCCGUUUUUGUUCGGGUCAACCAUUACCUAUUAAUUCGGAUCUAUAUAAAAAGGCUUUAUCUUUUUUUACUGCUUCAUUUCCAAACCCUAAUACACGCUCCUCUCCAUCUCCCCGCCUCUCCUCUUUGCCGAUUCUCUCAAAUCAGAUCAGAUCUAGGGUUUUUGAUUUCCACAGUUUUAAGAGGUCGUUACGAUGAAUUUCAAUGCGUCGAGUGAAAUCGAGCAAAGAUGAGAUUAUCCGCAUCUUGGCGGGGCAACCUGGAUGGUCAUGUGAAAGAUUGAAUGAGUUUGUGCUAUCACAUGGCAACCGGUAAGUAUGCAGCCAUGGUGGAUUUAUCCUCUUUUGUUUGAUUGUUUAUACAUCUGAGCAUCAAAAUUGAUUUAUCCUGAUUUUUAGUCACUUGGUUUUAUGUAUCUGUGAAUUAAUACGGUAUAUUUGUUUUUUUUUUUGUUUUUUGUGGUACACAUAGUUUCCUGUGUUUGAUCCAAAUUUAGAUUUUGCUUUGAAUUUACAGUUUUGCUACUAUGUUAAUUAUUUUUGAUGAUUGUUUGCUGGUCAAUUUAAGGUUUAUAUGUGUUUCAUAUUGCUGGUCAAUUUUGGAGGGUGCCCAUUUGUAUUUUCUUUUGUACGAUGAUUUAAAAGAUUCUUUUACACAUUACAAAUACAUGUUAGGUGGCUUUCAAUUAUUUUAAUUUGUUUUUAUUGAAAACUUUUGAAUCAAAGAUUCAAAGAUAGAGGUGUUGUUGAAUAACUGAGAUGUUAUAUCUUAUCAAAUGAAUGAAAAUCGUGCGAAAUGGGCUGAAGUAAACUGCCAUUUAUUUGAGCAAUCCAACAGUUGCGGCGGUGACAAGGAAUACGUUUCCGGCCACCCUUUUUCCGUUGAAGUUCUGGUCAACUUCUGCUUCUGAUUACACAUAUUUGAUGAAGACUGGCCUCUGCAGCAACUUUGUUCUACAGUGUGGCUGUUCGAAACCUUGGUGCGUUUCUAAUCUUGAGGUGGUUUUAAAGUCUUCAUCGGGUUCUUGGCCAAGCAAAGUUUAGCAUCAUAUACAAGUACUUGGCUAAGCAAAGGGUGGGUAAAAAGAAACUGCAGUUGGUUGGUUCUGUUGUCAUGCUUUUGGCUUGACGAAGUUUCAGGACUUUUAUCUCUCAUUUUCACCUUUGGCGCAUAUAUUGAUCAGCUGAUGCGUAGCAAUGCUUUAUUAAUCAUAUUGCAUCUAAAGGAUUUUGGUGUGGGGUGAAUGGUCUGAGUUUGAGGUAAAAUUGGUUUGUGAAGAUCUGCGAGCUGCAAUGAUUUAUGCAUGGGUCUGCAACACAUAUCGCUCAAGGCCACAUGUUUUAUGUUUUAAAUUCACAAGCAUGUGGAUGCUAUGUCGCUUUACGAAGAGUUAAAACCAUAAAUGGUGUCGGUGGCGAUGAAGAUUUAUUUCUGUAUGUAUACCUCUACAUCUGUGUUGGCGAUGAAGAAUUCUUUCUUUCUGCAUAUAAUGUUUCAGAGCAUAAUAAGUUAGCGGACUUUGUGUGAAAGUGGGCCCGUAUCUUGGCGUGGCAACCUGGAUUGUGAUGCAGCCAUGACGGGGCCCUACCCACUUUGUUCUCUUUCCUAUGUGCAGCUCAUGAGCCCAAAAAAACAAUUUUUUUUCAAGUUUUAUUCUCAGUCACUACAUCAACCACUAUAGUUUCUACUGAAAGUCGCAUACAACCAACCUCUGUUCAGAGGGUGAUUUUGGGAGGGAAUCACUCAAAAUAUACGGAGGUCCAUGAUUUAUGGUGUAAGAGAUGUGGUUGUGGUGUUUGGGUUGGCUGCAGUGGCGAUGAAGAUUUCUUUCUGUAUGUAUACCUCUGCAUCUGUGUUAAAGAUGAAGAUUUCUUUCUUUCUACAUAUAAUGCUUCCGAGCAUAAUAAGUUAGCGGACUUUGUGUGAAAGUGGGUCCAUAUCUUGGCGGGGCAACCUGGAUUCUGAUGCAGCCAUGACGGAGCCUCACCCACUUUGUUCUCUUUCGUAUGUGCAGAUCUGAGCCCCUAAAAAAAAUUGUCAAGUUUUAUUCUCAAUCACUACAUCAACCACUAUAGUUUCUAAUGAAAGUCACGUACAACCAACCUCUGUUCAGAGCGUGAUUUUGGGAGGGAAUCAUUCUAAAUAUACGGAGGUCCAUGAUUUAUGUUGUAAGAGAUGUGGUUGUGGUGUUUGGGUUGGCUGUAGUGGCGAUGAAGAUUUAUUUCUGUAUGUAUAUAUCUGCAUCUGUGUUGGCGAUGAAGAUUUCUUUGUUUCUACGUAUAAUGUUUCCGAGCAUAAUAAGUUUGAGGACUUUGUGUGAAAGUGGACCCGUAUCUUGGCGGGGCAACCUGGAUUGUGAUGCAGCUAUGACAGGGCCCUACCCACUUUGUUCUCUUUCAUAUGAGCCAAAAAAAACAAUUUUUUGUCAAUUUUUAUUCUCAAUCACUACAUCAACCACUAUAGUUUCUACUGGAAGUCGCAUACAACCAACCUCUGUUCAGGUGUGUUGUGUGAUUUACAGUUUUUGUGUUUGCUUUUUUGUACAAAUAUGGCGGUGAAGCUUGAUAAUAUGCACUUUGCUUUGAUCGUGUGAGUUUUAUCGUAUUUUUGAACCAUUUUACUUGCUAUGUGAUGAUUUUAAUCUGUUUGUAGAGCGUGAUUUUGGGAGGGAAUCAUUCUAAAUAUACGGAGGUCCAUGAUUAAAUGCUCACUCGAGAUUCACCAUUAAUUUUGAGGUCAAUUUGGUUUUCUUCAAUGGUAUUUUGGGAAAUCGAUCUGUAGGUUCAUGUUGAUUGUGGUUCUUUAUACUUCAAGAUUUGGAGGGUGCCCAUUUGUAUUUUCUUUUGUACGAUGAUUUAAAAGAUUCUUUUACACAUUACAAAUACAUGUUAGGUGGCUUUCAAUUAUUUUAAUUUGUUUUUAUUGAAAACUUUUGAAUCAAAGAUUCAAAGAUAGAGGUGUUGUUGAAUAACUGAGAUGUUAUAUCUUAUCAAAUGAAUGAAAAUCGCGCAAAAUGGGCUGAAGUAAACUGCCAUUUAUUUGAGCAAUCCAACAGUUGCGGCGGUGACAAGGAAUACGUUUCCGGCCACCCUUUUUCCGUUGAAGUUCUGGUCAACUUCUGCUUCUGAUUACACAUAUUUGAUGAAGACCGGCCUCUGCAGCAACUUUGUUCUACAGUGUGGCUGUUCGAAACCCCGGUUCUUGGCCAAGCAAAGUUUAGCAUCAUAUACAAGUACUUGGCUAAGCAAAGGGUGGGUAAAAAGAAACUGCAGUUGGUUGGUUCUGUUGUCAUGCUUUUGGCUUGACGAAGUUUCAGGACUUUUAUCUCUCAUUUAAUCCUUUGGCGCAUAUAUUGAUCAGCUGAUGCGUAGCAAUGCUUUAUUAAUCAUAUUGCAUCUAAAGGAUUUUGGUGUGGGGUGAAUGGUCUGAGUUUGAGGUAAAAUUGGUUUGUGAAGAUCUGCGAGCUGCAAUGAUUUAUGCAUGGGUCUGCAACACAUAUCGCUCAAGGCCACAUGUUUUAUGUUUGAAAUUCACAAGCAUGUGGAUGCUAUGUCGCUUUACGAAGAGUUAAAACCAUAAAUGGUGUCAGUGGCGAUGAAGAUUUAUUUCUGUAUGUAUACCUCUACAUCUGUGUUGGCGAUGAAGAUUUCUUUCUUUCUGCAUAUAAUGUUUCAGAGCAUAAUAAGUUAGCGGACUUUGUGUGAAAGUGGGCCCGUAUCUUGGCGUGGCAACCUGGAUUGUGAUGCAGCCAUGACGGGGCCCUACCCACUUUGUUCUCUUUCCUAUGUACAGAUCUGAGCCCAAAAAUAUAUUUUUUUUUCAUGUUUUAUUCUCA